rnacentral:rRNA from 1 species
UCCGCCGGCGGACCGGACGGCACGGGUCGGAGUAACAACGUAAUGCGAACCUACGGCCGUGACAGAUGGAUAACCGGACGGAAAUACCCGCCUAAUACAACAUAAUGCCGGGAGGGGACAUCCCCUGCCGGCCAAAGGGGGCGACCCCGGUCACGGAUGGGCAUGCGGCGCAUUAGGUAGUUGGUGGGGCAACGGCCCACCAAGCCGACGAUGCGUAGGGGUUCUGAGAGGAAGGUCCCCCACAUUGGAACUGAGACACGGUCCAAACUCCUACGGGAGGCAGCAG